ACACAUGCAGUCGAGCGGUAAGGCCCUUCGGGGUACACGAGCGGCGAACGGGUGAGUAACACGUGGGUGAUCUGCCCUGUACUUCGGGAUAAGCCUGGGAAACUGGGUCUAAUACCGGAUAUGACCUUACAUCGCAUGGUGUUUGGUGGAAAGAUUUAUCGGUACAGGAUGGGCCCGCGGCCUAUCAGCUUGUUGGUGGGGUAAUGGCCUACCAAGGCGACGACGGGUAGCCGGCCUGAGAGGGCGACCGGCCACACUGGGACUGAGACACGGCCCAGACUCCUACGGGAGGCAGCAGUGGGGAAUAUUGCACAAUGGGCGAAAGCCUGAUGCAGCGACGCCGCGUGAGGGAUGACGGCCUUCGGGUUGUAAACCUCUUUCGACAGGGACGAAGCGCAAGUGACGGUACCUGUAGAAGAAGCACCGGCCAACUACGUGCCAGCAGCCGCGGUAAUACGUAGGGUGCGAGCGUUGUCCGGAAUUACUGGGCGUAAAGAGCUUGUAGGCGGUUUGUCGCGUCGUCCGUGAAAACUUGGGGCUCAACCCCAAGCUUGCGGGCGAUACGGGCAGACUUGAGUACUGCAGGGGAGACUGGAAUUCCUGGUGUAGCGGUGAAAUGCGCAGAUAUCAGGAGGAACACCGGUGGCGAAGGCGGGUCUCUGGGCAGUAACUGACGCUGAGAAGCGAAAGCGUGGGUAGCGAACAGGAUUAGAUACCCUGGUAGUCCACGCCGUAAACGGUGGGCGCUAGGUGUGGGUUUCCUUCCACGGGAUCCGUGCCGUAGCUAACGCAUUAAGCGCCCCGCCUGGGGAGUACGGCCGCAAGGCU
rnacentral:rRNA from 1 species